UACGUAGGUGGCAAGCGUUGUCCGGAUUUAUUGGGUUUAAAGGGUGCGUAGGUGGUCUAUUAAGUCAGUGCUGAAAUAUCCCGGCUUAACCGGGAGGGUGGCAUUGAUACUGAUGGACUUGAGUAGAGUUGAGGUAGGCGGAAUUGACGGUGUAGCGGUGAAAUGCUUAGAUAUCGUCAAGAACACCGAUAGCGAAGGCAGCUUACUACAUGUUCAUUGACGCUGAGGCACGAAAGCGUGGGGAGCAAACAGG
rnacentral:rRNA from 1 species